rnacentral:rRNA from 2 species
AGAGUUUGAUCCUGGCUCAGGAUGAACGCUAGCUACAGGCUUAACACAUGCAAGUCGAGGGGCAGCAUGGUCUUAGCUUGCUAAGGCCGAUGGCGACCGGCGCACGGGUGAGUAACACGUAUCCAACCUGCCGUCUACUCUUGGACAGCCUUCUGAAAGGAAGAUUAAUACAAGAUGGCAUCAUGAGUCCGCAUGUUCACAUGAUUAAAGGUAUUCCGGUAGACGAUGGGGAUGCGUUCCAUUAGAUAGUAGGCGGGGUAACGGCCCACCUAGUCUUCGAUGGAUAGGGGUUCUGAGAGGAAGGUCCCCCACAUUGGAACUGAGACACGGUCCAAACUCCUACGGGAGGCAGCAGUGAGGAAUAUUGGUCAAUGGGCGAGAGCCUGAACCAGCCAAGUAGCGUGAAGGAUGACUGCCCUAUGGGUUGUAAACUUCUUUUAUAAAGGAAUAAAGUCGGGUAUGGAUACCCGUUUGCAUGUACUUUAUGAAUAAGGAUCGGCUAACUCCGUGCCAGCAGCCGCGGUAAUACGGAGGAUCCGAGCGUUAUCCGGAUUUAUUGGGUUUAAAGGGAGCGUAGAUGGAUGUUUAAGUCAGUUGUGAAAGUUUGCGGCUCAACCGUAAAAUUGCAGUUGAUACUGGAUAUCUUGAGUGCAGUUGAGGCAGGCGGAAUUCGUGGUGUAGCGGUGAAAUGCUUAGAUAUCACGAAGAACUCCGAUUGCGAAGGCAGCCUGCUAAGCUGCAACUGACAUUGAGGCUCGAAAGUGUGGGUAUCAAACAGGAUUAGAUACCCUGGUAGUCCACACGGUAAACGAUGAAUACUCGCUGUUUGCGAUAUACGGCAAGCGGCCAAGCGAAAGCGUUAAGUAUUCCACCUGGGGAGUACGCCGGCAACGGUGAAACUCAAAGGAAUUGACGGGGGCCCGCACAAGCGGAGGAACAUGUGGUUUAAUUCGAUGAUACGCGAGGAACCUUACCCGGGCUUAAAUUGCAGAUGAAUUACGGUGAAAGCCGUAAGCCGCAAGGCAUCUGUGAAGGUGCUGCAUGGUUGUCGUCAGCUCGUGCCGUGAGGUGUCGGCUUAAGUGCCAUAACGAGCGCAACCCUUGUUGUCAGUUACUAACAGGUUCCGCUGAGGACUCUGACAAGACUGCCAUCGUAAGAUGUGAGGAAGGUGGGGAUGACGUCAAAUCAGCACGGCCCUUACGUCCGGGGCUACACACGUGUUACAAUGGGGGGUACAGAGGGCCGCUACCACGCGAGUGGAUGCCAAUCCCAAAAACCUCUCUCAGUUCGGACUGGAGUCUGCAACCCGACUCCACGAAGCUGGAUUCGCUAGUAAUCGCGCAUCAGCCACGGCGCGGUGAAUACGUUCCCGGGCCUUGUACACACCGCCCGUCAAGCCAUGGGAGCCGGGGGUACCUGAAGUGCGUAACCGCGAGGAGCGCCCUAGGGUAAAACUGGUGACUGGGGCUAAGUCGUAACAAGGUAGCCGUACCGGAAGGUGCGGCUGGAACACCU